CCUCCUCCUUAUCCCCUCCCCUCUUCCCUGUCCCCCUUCACAGCUGGCUGUAGCUGGCCAAGGAGGUCUCGAUUAAAGAGGAAGGGGCAGUGCUCACAUUUCUGGGUAGGCGUCUGGAAAAUAUGAGAGGCCACCCCUCUCUGCUGCUGCUAUACAUGGCAUUAACCACCUGCCUGGAUACUUCACCCGGUGGGGAGACAGACCAAGGUGAGUGUUUGGGGGAAGUGGUAUCCAGACACUUGGCAUUGGCCUCCCCCUGACUCAGGAAUGUCUCUGGUCCCUCCUCUUCCAGGAGUCCAGGACCCAGCCCCUUCCUCCUUCAGACCCAGGAGUCUGGAUUCCCAGCCCCUGCUCCUUCCUCCAGGACCCCACUGCUUUCCAGCCCCUUAUGACUCCAGCUCUAGGGACCCUCCAUUUUUCUGUCCCUCAUGUCUUUGGGUCCAGAAGUCUUCCUGGGUCCCCCAGAGGCCCAGAGCUUCCUGAGUAGCCAUACCCGGAUUCCAAGAGCCAACCACUGGGACCUGGAGCUGCUCACACCAGGGAACCUGGAACGGGAGUGUCGCGAAGAGAGGUGUUCCUGGGAAGAGGCCAGGGAGUAUUUUGAGGACAACACUCUCACGGAGCGCUUUUGGGAGAGCUACAUCUACAAUGGCAAAGGAGGGCGUGGACGAGUGGAUGUGGCAGGCCUGGCUGUGGGGCUGACAUGUGGCAUCCUGCUCAUUGUCCUGGCCGGCCUGGGAGCCUUUUGGUAUCUGCGUUGGCGACGGCGCCGAGGCCAGCAGCCCUGUCCCCAAGAGGCCGGGCUCAUUAGCCCUCUGAGUCCUUUGAGCCCUCUAGGCCCACCGACGCCCCUGCCUGCACCCCCACCCCCACCCCCACCCCCGGGCCUCCCCACCUACGAGCAGGCGCUGGCAGCCUCUGGGGUGCACGACGCACCUCCACCCCCCUACACCAGCCUCAGGAGGCCUCACUGAAGAGUUGCUUUCGAGACCCGGCUCUCCGAACCGUGUCCCUGAUUCAUACCGGAUUCCGGAAGCUCCUAGGCCUCGUAGACGCCGAAGCGGACUUGGAGGGGGGGAUGGUGGGAGUAGGGGUCAUCCGGCCCGAGGCCUGCCCUGGCACACGCGUUUCCGCCGCGUAUGGAUAUACACAUGUUCUCGGCAACGUGUUCCCGUGUCCUGGCCCCUCACGGGCCCCCACACUCUCCUGACCGUGAGGGCACUGGUCAGUUCCACCCCCGUGGUAGGCAGACGCGCGGGGAAAUUCGGAGGCAGGAGCCCAGCCCUGGCUGUGCCAUCUAGUGUAUGGGCAGAUAUGACCUGACAGCCCCCUCCAGUGCCACAGGGUACGCACACGGAGAGCCCCGCCUGUGCACACGCGUGUCUUCGUGCACUCCCCGUGCGGUACAGGGGCACUUCGUAACCCAGGGAAAGGGCGGGGGGCAUAUUUGCAAGCGUGCUCGGUGCGGGCAGGCUCGCAUUGCACCCAGGGAGCUGGAGUUGAGCUGUUCCCCUAAAUAAAAACUCUUCGGAAAGGAGACCAAAAAAAGCAGAAAUAAUGCAAAAAAAAAAAAUAAUGAAAUGAACCGCGA
rnacentral:sRNA from 1 species